UACGUAGGGCGCAAGCGUUGUCCGGAAUUAUUGGGCGUAAAGAGCUCGUAGGCGGCCAGUUGCGUCCGCUGUGAAAUCCUGGGGCUUAACCCCUGGCUUGCAGUGGAUACGGACAGACUAGAGGUAGGUAGGGGAGAAUGGAAUUCCCGGUGUAGCGGUGAAAUGCGCAGAUAUCGGGAGGAACACCGGUGGCGAAGGCGGUUCUCUGGGCCUUACCUGACGCUGAGGAGCGAAAGCGUGGGGAGCGAACAGG
rnacentral:rRNA from 1 species